UACGAAGGGUGCAAGCGUUGCUCGGAAUUAUUGGGCGUAAAGGGUAGGUAGGUGGUGACAUUUGUCUGGGAGUGAAAUCCCUGAGCUUAACUCAGGAAGUGCCUUGGAAACGGUGUCACUAGAGUGCUGGAGAGGUUCGCAGAAUUCUUGGUGUAGCGGUGAAAUGCGUAGAGAUCAAGAGGAAUACCAGAGGCGAAGGCGGCGAACUGGACAGUUACUGACACUGAACUACGAAAGCGUGGGGAGCAAACAGG
rnacentral:rRNA from 1 species